rnacentral:tRNA from 1 species
GCUCCUGUAGCUCAGUUGGUCAGAGCGUGAUGCUAAUACACCGGAAUCGGUGAAGGCACGUCAAGGUCCUCGGUUCGAGCCCGGGUGGGAGCA